rnacentral:rRNA from 1 species
GAUGAACGCUAGCUACAGGCUUAACACAUGCAAGUCGAGGGGAAACGCCAUCGAAAGCUUGCUUUUGAUGGGCGUCGACCGGCGCACGGGUGAGUAACGCGUAUCCAACCUGCCCAUCACUUGGGAAUAACCUUGCGAAAGUAAGACUAAUACCCAAUGAUAUCCCACGAAGGCAUCGGAAUGGGAUUAAAGAUUUAUCGGUGAUGGAUGGGGAUGCGUCUGAUUAGCUUGUUGGCGGGGUAACGGCCCACCAAGGCAACGAUCAGUAGGGGUUCUGAGAGGAAGGUCCCCCACAUUGGAACUGAGACACGGGCCAAACUCCUACGGGAGGCAGCAGUGAGGAAUAUUGGUCAAUGGGCGAGAGCCUGAACCAGCCAAGUAGCGUGCAGGAAGACGGCCCUAUGGGUUGUAAACUGCUUUUAUAAGGGAAUAAAGUGGGUCACGUGUGACUUUUUGCAUGUACCUUAUGAAUAAGGACCGGCUAAUUCCGUG